rnacentral:lncRNA from 1 species
AUGAUUUACUUUAUCUGUCCAUCUAUCUACCUGUUUAUCUAUCAUCUGUCUACCUAUGUAUCCAUUAUCUAUCUUUCUAUCUAUCUAUCUAGUCUACCAGUCUCUAUCUAUCUAUCUGUCAUCUGUCUAUCAUUUGUCUACCUGUCUAUCCAUCUAUCAUCUGUCUACUUGUCUAUCAUCUAUCUACCUGUCUAUCUACCUAUCAUGUCUAUCUAUCUAUCACAUUUACCUGUCUAUCAUCUGUCUACCUAUCUAUCUAUUAUCUAUCUAUCUAUCUAUCUAUCUAUCUAUCUAUGUAUCUACCUAUCAUCUGUCUGUCUAUCAUCUCUCUGUCUAUCAUCAUCUGUCUACCUAUCUAUCUACCUAUCAUCUGUCUAUUAUCUAUCUAUCUAUCUAUCUAUCUAUCUAUCUAUCUAUCUACCUAUCAUCUGUCUGUCUAUCAUCUCUCUGUCUAUCAUCAUCUGUCUACCUAUCUAUCUACCUAUCAUCUGUCUAUUAUCUAUCUAUCUAUCAUCUGUCUACCUAUCAUCUAUCUACCUACCUAUUAUCUAUCUAUCUAUCUAUCUAUCUAUCUAUCUGUCUAUCAUCACUCUAUCUACCUGUCUAUCAUCUGUCUAUCAUCUGUCUAUCUCUCUAUCUAUCAUCUGUCUGUCUAUCUAUCUAUCUAUCUAUCUAUCUAUCUAUCUACCUAUCUAUCUAUCAUCUCUCUAUCAUCUGUCUACCUGUCUGUCUAUCAUCUAUCUAUCAUCUGUCUACCUAUCUAUCUAUCAUCUCUCUAUCUACCUAUCUACUUGUCUAUCUAUCAUCUAUGUAUCUAUGUAUCUAUCUAUAAUCUAUCUACCUAUCAUCUAUCUAUCUAUCAUCUGUCUACCUAUCUAUCAUCUCUCUCUCUCUCUCUAUCUAUCUACCUAUCAUCUAGCUAUCUUUAUCUAUCAUCUGUCUACAUGUCUAUCUGUCUGUCUACCUGUCUAUGUAUCAUCUGUCUACCCGUCUAUUAUCUAUCUAUUCUAUCUAUCUAUCUAUCUAAUCUAUCGUCUACCUGUCUAUCAUCUAUCUAUCAUCUAUCGUGUCUACCUGUCUAUCUAUGAUCUGUUUAUCUAUCUAUCUAUCUAUCUAUCUAUCUAUCAUCUGUCUACCAGUCUAUCUAUCUAUCUAUCUAUCUAUCAUCUGCCUAUCUAG